UCUAAAGAACACUGCAUAGAAAGCUUAGCUAGAAGAACAACUUCCUACAGUUUCUUUCAUGGCUUCUGAAGAGAUAGGUAUGAAGAUCCCAUCCCAUGACUUUUAAGCAUAUUACAAACUUUUAGUUGCCCUAACCAAAGAUAGAAUGUUAAAGCAGGGAUUGGAGAAAGAAGGGUCAAGCUCUCAGAGUCGUGUGACUUUGUGAAGUGUACUGCUUAUUUUACAGAGCUUAAAACCUUCUGGAGAGAGAGAGGGCUAUAUAAAUGGUUGGGUCUGUGUUUUAGGUCAAAUGCUGCUGUUCUCUUGGCAAGUCAGUCUUUUCUCUUUGAAUAUGGUCUUAUUCCUCAGUGGCACUAUGUAUGUGCAUGCCACUUUGUGACUGUGGUAUGAUCUAUGGCCAAGAGGAUGCUUCGUAUUAUAUUUACAGUAUAAAUACAAAGUAAAGUUACUGUCAGUAAUUCUGAUUUGUUUGUCUGAUAUGACCUCUGCUAAGCUGCAGAGGAAUUAAGGCUGAUGAUUUCAGGAUUUUCUUGUUUAUGGCAUUGUGUGUUUUAUAUAGAAUCAAAAUGUUUUUUGUUUUUUGUUUUGUUUUGUUUUCUCUUACCUUACGGCAGAAUCUCUCUCUGGUAUCUUUAUCAUCUUUACUGAAGGACCUGUGUGGUGAAGACAUUUGUCUAAGAAUUUCUUUCUUGCUCAAGGUUCUGAUUUCAUGAACAAGCUGACAGAGUACUCAACAGCAUGAAUUUCUGUAGAGCAGAACUGUAGCACCCAGACACCUUAGCAGGUGAUUGCCUACCAAGCUCUGCUCAGUCAGUGUUUCCAUGGAAAUAAAUUGGAGGCAUUACUUUCAGAGCAACCCAGUUCUUGGUCUAAAGAGGCUGCACUGAAACAUUGCUGUCCUACUGCUGUAUACCUGGCUCACCCUGAGUUGGCCGAUGUCUCCAAGAAUGAGAGUGCUUGGGUCUUGCAUUAGCACUGGAACGGCUGCGUGGUCCAUCCUCCUCUGAGCAGUGCCCCUGAGACCCCAUAGGAGUGUAUCAAGGGCAUCUUUUUGGUAGAUCUGUGGGGAAUACACCACAGGAAUGUCCUACUGCUCAUGCUUGUUCUCUGCAUGCAAGGCUCAGGUGGAGGUUUGUAUGUAAGGGUUACAGUUGGAAUGUGGAGAAAGUAAAUUAUUUUAAACUUAAGAGGAAAAGGGUUGCGGGAGGAUUAGGAAUGUCUGGGACAGACAUACGAAGGGGGUGGGCAGUUAUUCAUAGGUCCUAAUAUAAUAAUGCACGUCAAUAUGUGAUUCAGAUGUAAGUCUGAUGAAUUUAUAGCAAAAUGAGGAAAUAAACUGGCAAUGCAAACAGGUAUUUAAUCAGCAUAUAAUCUCAGAAACAUGUUUGGAAGGAACACUUCAUUGGUCAUUAGGUCUGUUUCCCUGCGUCAUAUGGAAGAGUUCAAUUAUUCUAACCACUCCUCCUUGGAUGGGUGUCAGACAGUUGCUAUGUCCAAUGCUAUGUCCAUUUCUGGACUGUUUGCUGCAUUUUCCUUGUCAUAGAAACAAAAGCACUGAAAUGUAAUGUAAUGUUGUUAUACUCUGCAAAAUGACCAUAAUUCAGGUUCCAUGUUUACUGCUUCCCCUGCUUACAGUAAUUUCUUACUGCUACUACUGCUUACAGUAAUUUCUGCCUAAGUAUUGUAAGUGGAUAAGUAAUCCUGUAAUUUUGUUUUCUGAACAGGAAUCCUGGAAAAUGUCCUCUGGCAGUUGAAAUUUUGGCUAGUUUGUGCUUUUUCUGUUUUAGCAUUUUACUAAAGCAUCUGGCUUCUAUAUAUGUGUAUUUUAUAUUGUCUCAUAUGACUAUGUGCAUAUAUAUAUUCCUGUUCCACACCCAUUUAGACAUGGCAGAUGGUGAGUUCUAGAAAUGAUUCUGUUUCCUUGGAAGAACUGAGUAAUUACAUUAGAAGUUUAAUGAGUUGAAAUUACUUUUCCAGUUAACAUUUGCCCUUUAAGUGUAGAGAAUUCUUUGAACAAUUUGGGCCUUAUUUGUGUGUGUUCCUAGAUGAAAUUUUGCAAAGGAACUUGGAGUUUUAUGUCUUUGCGCGCAUUUUCCGUGGGGUAUUUUGAGAUUUAAAUUUCAGUGCUUGUUACUGAAUAAACAAAUCUGAUUCCUGUUUCAUUGCAAGACUGUAACUUCCUGCCGGGAAGGCCCAGGGCAGGCUUAUGGCAGCAAACUUCUGGCAACCAAGAAUGUAGGGAGGCAUCACCUGUGCCCAGCAUUGUGAUGUUCAGGUACCUCUCUUUCUGUGGAAAGAAAUGGAAGAAAAGCACACACAGAGCAUUUCAGCAAUCUGCCAUGAGCAACACUCUCAAUCACCGUGUUCAAACUAUUCACUUUCCUUAGUUUAAACAACCAUCUCUGUCUUUUCGAUGUUGUUUUAUAUUUGUUUUAUCAGGUGCUAGCUUUUUUUUCCUGUUUGCUUAGGUUGCUUAUGGAUUAUGAAAUUAGUACAGGUUGAAUGAAUGUAAAGAAAGACUGUGGACUUGAAUUUUGCUUUCCAAAUGAUGUUUUUUCAUUAUCCUCUCAAGAUAAUACAGGUCCAUUCUUGAACCAGCCAAGGGAACUCUUGUCAUCUAGUAAGUCUUGGUCUAAUUGUGGACCUAGAGAUGGAGGAGCAGCCUGGGCUACCAGCCUUUGCAUCUCCGGCCUUUUUUGAGGACUUGCUAUCAUGGCAGCUCUUGAGUUCUGGAUCUGGUCUCCCUGCCUGCCUGGGUUUAGCACCUUAUCAGCCCUCAACUACAAGUCUAGGCAGCUGAACCUAGUUAUUUACAAUUUCUGCUAGUAUUGUUGCCAUAGAAUUGUUUUCAUGUUCUAGUCGCUGUGUUGUGGCUCUGCUCUUUUUCUGGGUGAAAAUUUCUUUCUUACUUUCUAAGGAUAAUUAUUUAUUUAUUCAUAGCAUCCAAUAUAGGGCAAAUUUGAAUUAGGAGAUGAACAUUUUGAGAAUUUAUUCUUGAAAUGGUGGAACACAAGAUUGUUUCAAUUAGGAUGAGCAACUGACACACCAGUCAGAUGUGUUGGAUGCUAUCUUGUUUAAAUAUGUUGAUUUUAAUCUUAAAAAAUAAUAAUAAAAAAUAAUUAAAAAAAAAAAAAGGUCAGAUUCAUAAUUAGUUUUUCCUUUGGGAACUCAAAAUUCUUGGUACAAAGUAUAAUGAUUUGAUCAAAAUUUUGGUGUUAGCUCUUGAUCUAAGUAGUUUCAACAUGUUCUUUGGCUUUGCUCCUAUACAGUAAAAAUAAUGGGCUAAUUGCCUUACCUGACUGACAGGUAUGUCAGAUUUGCAAAGUUAAAAGAUACGAAGUGGCUAUAAAUAGUCCCCCAGCCUUUUCUUGUUUCUUUGGGUAUUUGCUGCCUCAUUUAACCUUUUGAAGAAUUCCUUUAUUACAACUACCAAUCAGCGCCCGAGGAGGAUUCUUGUCUAGUCUGACAUGGUAUUAAUGGCAUUUAGCCCAACGGUAUUAUAAUCUGGCGGAUUCCAAAUUCUAAGGGAAAGAGAGCUUUCCCUUGUCCUGGAGCUUUCACCUUCUCUAUUAUUUUAACUAAUACAUUUCUUGUUGGCUCUGAUUCUUGCUUACUUCAAGUGAUGUUAACAUGUCUGUGCUGACGGCUCUUCUCUUUUUUUCCAGAAACCUCUCAAGGCUUUGUUUGUAUCAAUUAUAUUCCAGUACUGUAGCCUCAUCAAGAUUAUGUCUUGCAAUAUUGCAUGAACCUGAAGGCCAGCCACUUCAAGGGCUACCUGAUCAGGAAGAGGAAACUGAUGAGGUCUUCCACAGAUAGCUGAAGGUAGCAUCACAACUGUGGGCACUGGUUCUCAUGGAGAACUUCAACCACCCUGAUAUUUGCUGGAAAAGCACCACCGCCAAGCACACAGAGUCCAGAAGAUUCCUGCAGUGCAUGCAAGAUUACUAUCUCAUGCAUUUGGUGCAGGCGACAAUAAGGAGAGAUGUACCUCUGGAACUUGUUCUUACAAAAAAGGAAGAAUUGGUUGGAAAUGUGAAGUCUGUAGGCAGCCUUAGAUGCAAUGACUCUGAGAUAGAAAAGCUCAAGAUCUUACAUGGAAGAAACAGGGCAAUGUGUAAGAGCACUGGAAAGUAUGUGGGCCCAAAUAAGUUGGUUGACAUUCUAAGCUCAAGAGUGGUGGAUCCCUAAGAGUAAGAAAUCAGGCAAAGGUGGCAGGAGACCUCCGUUGAUGAGCAAGGAGCUCAUGGAAAAACUCAAAUGAAGGAACAAAUCUAUGGAAUGUGGAAAAAGGGUCUGACCAUUUCAGAGAAAUAUGGGACUGUUGUCUUCUUUAAGUAUAUCAAUAGUAAAAGGAAGACUAUUGAAAAUGCGAGUCCACUGCUAAAUGAGGUAAGUCUCCUGGUAACAGAGGACACUGAGAAGGCAGAGUUACUGAAUGCCUUCUUUGCUUCAGUCUUUACUGCUAAGACUGCCCCUCAGGAACCCUAGACCUGGAGAUUCUCAGGAGAGAGUCUGGGGAAAGGAAGACUUCCAUUUGAUGAGAAGGAUCUGAUCAGAGAUUAUCUAGACAAAUUCAACACACAGAAAUCCAUGGAUACUGAUGGGAUGCACCCAUGAGUACUGAGGGAGCUGAUAGAAGUGAUUGCCAAGUUGCUCUCUAUCGUCUUCAAAAUGGGAGAGGUGUCUGAAGACUGAAGGAUAGACAGUGUACUCCAGCCUUCAAAAUGAGCGAGAAGGAGAAGGCAGAAAACUACAGGAAAAUCAGCCUCACCUCUGUUCCUGGAUAGGUGAUGGAACAACUUGUUCUGGAUGUCAUCUCCAAGCAAUUGGAAGAGAAGGAGAUUAUCAGGAGUAGUCAGCAUGGAUUCAUCAAAGGGAAGUCUUGCUAGACCAUUCUGGUAGCCUUUUAUGAUGCCGUGUCUGGCUGGAUAGGUGAGUGGAGAGCAGAGCACCUUGAUUUUUGCAAGGCUUUUGACACUGUGCACUGAGACUGUUUAGGAGGAGAAGACUGAGAGGUGAUUUAGUCAAUGCGUAUAAAUAUCUAAAGGG